rnacentral:lncRNA from 1 species
AAAAAGCUUACCAGUUAUUCAGAUCUCCAGUAAAGUUCCAUCUCUCUAUUACAUUUCAGACUUGUGUGUAGGAACAAUGUGAGUAGUAUACAUAGUUGAUAGUUCCAAUCUCCUUCCGUAAAUACGUACGGUCAUUAUUAGCCUGAAUUGUAAAUUAUUCAGUCUAACCGAAACAUUUUGAAAACUUCGAACAAGUCCAUUGUAUAGCAAGUUUUACAACAUAAUAAUACGUACAUAUACGGUUUAGAAUCCAAACACAAGAAAACAGAAGCAGAAGCAUCGCAACCAAAUAUCGAAAUGUCAUUAUUACAUGACAUCUGUCAAUUCGACCGGACAUGCAUUUUAUUUAUAAGUACUCAGUACUACUAAUCAAAUGCUACCACUUAUACUUAUACAUGAUUAAGAAGUAGCUAGUAGUAUCUGAUGCACGCAUGCAGAUGGAGUCCUCUAGUUCUGAGGCUUCACUUGAGCGGCCUCAAGUGCUUUUGCCUCAGCUGCAGAGCAACAACUACCAUGGC